GGCUAGCGGGCUCACAUAACAGAAAUAAGUGCAAUAGAACUAACUAACUAUAUCUAUAUAGAAUCUAUAUCUAUAUAGAAUGUUUUUUUUAUUAUAUAUUAUAUUAUACUUAUUUAUAGCAGUUAGUUAUAGCAGAUUAGAUUAAUCAUAUUAGAGCAGAUCGGUACUAAGGAAAGGAUAAGAUAAGGAUGCAAUCCAGAUCAUAAUGAGACAUUUCUCUGGUUUCAUUCAGAAAGGGGGGAGGUAGAACGAAAAAAAAAAAAUGAAUAUCGACCGUUCCAGUAUUCAAAAUCGCGCGGGAAAAAUGAGAGGGGGGGAAGGUAUGUAUAUGUGGGAUAUCUCUAUCCAUAUUGAAUUGCAGAUACAUCAAUGAUAGAAUCAUUUCUGAUGGGACCAAAUACGGGUCUUCCGAUAGAGAAUAUGGACAAGAAAUCAAAAUAAAAUCAUUAAAAUAAUAAAAUAGGAGUAGACCCUUUUUCGAUAUUAGGAAUCAGUAUCUAAUGAAUUCAACGGUUCUGACAUAAAUAAAUGAAAGAGGGGGAUGGGAUCACAAU
rnacentral:misc_RNA from 1 species